UACAGAGGUCCCGAGCGUUUGUUCGGAUUCAUUGGGCGUAAAGAGCUCGUAGGUGGUUUGUCGCGUUGUUCGUGAAAACUCACAGCUUAACUGUGGGCGUGCGGGCGAUACGGGCAGACUGGAGUACUGCAGGGGAGACUGGAAUUCCUGGUGUAGCGGUGGAAUGCGCAGAUAUCAGGAGGAACACCGGUGGCGAAGGCGGGUCUCUGGGCAGUAACUGACGCUGAGGAGCGAAAGCGUGGGGAGCGAACAGG
rnacentral:rRNA from 1 species